rnacentral:misc_RNA from 1 species
GCAAAAUCAACCAUUUCUGCGACCUACUAUUGUUGAAGUGGUUAAGGUAUUAGAAGGUACACUUUCUGUAGAUAGGCCUCCAUUCCCUUUCACUCUUAGACAAGAUCAGAUGGAUGAAGCUGCUUUAAGUGAGAUUNNNNNNNNNGCUCCUAGACUGAAGUUAACUUUGAUUAGAAAGAUAUGCAAAUUUUAACUAGUUUCAUUUUCUGCAUAGCAAGGUCUAAGCAAAAUUGUCCGAUGCACAUGGGAGUUCAAAUUUUUUUGUAAAAUUGAACCCCAGAUAUGCAUGAAUUUCUAUAUUAUGUAUUAAUCUUUAAUGUAAAGACUGGCCUUCAUUGUGAAAUGGCUAAUCCAUCAC